UUGACUAAGCUGAGACGUGAUAACGCAACGUUCUUAGGAACGCCAAGUGAGUGAUACCAUGCUUCCAGGAAAAGCCACUAAGCUUCAGUUGAAUGAAGACCGUACCGUAAACCGACACAGGUGGGUAGGAUGAGAAUUCUAAGGCGCUUGAGAGAACUCAGGAGAAGGAACUCGGCAAAAUAGCACCGUAACUUCGGGAAAAGGUGUGCCCUUUGUAUGUGUAGCGCCUCGCGCGUGAAGCAGAAUAGGGUUGCAAUGAAAUGGUGGCUGCGACUGUUUAAUAAAAACAUAGCACUCUGCAAACACGAAAGUGGACGUAUAGAGUGUGACGCCUGCCCGGUGCCGGAAGGUUAAAUGAUGGGGUGCAAGCUCUUGAUUGAAGCCCCGGUAAACGGCGGCCGUAACAAUAACGGUCCUAAGGUAGCGAAAUUCCUUGUCGGGUAAGUUCCGACCUGCACGAAUGGCGUAACGAUGGCCACACUGUCUCCUCCUGGGACUCAGCGAAGUUGAAAUGUUUGUGAAGAUGCAAUCUCCCCGCGGCUAGACGGAAAGACCCCGUGCACCUUUACUGUAGCUUUACAUUGGACUUUGAUAACAUUUGUGUAGGAUAGGUGGGAGGCUUUGAAGUGGGUUCGCCAGAAUUCAUGGAGCCAACGUUGAAAUACCACCCUGAUGUUGUUGAGGUUCUAACCUAGAUCCAUUAUCUGGAUUGGGGACCGUGUAUGGUAGGCAGUUUGACUGGGGCGGUCUCCUCCCAAAUUGUAACGGAGGAGUACGAAGGUACGCUAGGUACGGUCGGAAAUCGUGCUGAUAGUGCAAUGGCAAAAGCGUGCUUAACUGCGAGACUGACAAGUCGAGCAGAUGCGAAAGCAGGUCAUAGUGAUCCGGUGGUUCUGUAUGGAAGGGCCAUCGCUCAACGGAUAAAAGGUCCCCGGGGAUAACAGGCUGAUUCCUCCCAAGAGUUCAUAUCGACGGGGGAGUUUGGCACCUCGAUGUCGGCUCAUCACAUCCUGGGGCUGUAGCCGGUCCCAAGGGUAUGGCUGUUCGCCAUUUAAAGUGGUACGUGAGCUGGGUUUAAAACGUCGUGAGACAGUUUGGUCCCUAUCUGCCGUGGGCGUUGGAAGUUUGAGUGGACCUGCUCCUAGUACGAGAGGACCGGAGUGGACGCACCUCUGGUGUACCGGUUAUGACGCCAGUCGUAUCGCCGGGUAGCUAUGUGCGGAAGAGAUAACCGCUGAAAGCAUCUAAGCGGGAGACUCUCCUCAAGAUGAGACUUCCCGAGGGUUUAACCCUCCUAAAGGUUCGUCGAAGACUACGACGUUGAUAGGUCGGGUGUGGAAGCAUAGUGAUAUGUUAAGCUAAC
rnacentral:rRNA from 1 species